CUUUUUUCUCUCUCCUCUAGUUUUCUGUUAUAACCCUAAUGUCAAAUUUCCUCUCGAAUAAAUUCUCCUCUUACUCUGUUCUUUCACUUGCAGUAGCAAAAGCUAGUAGAAUCUCAUAGAAAAAAUGACAGGUGACGGAGAAUGAGCGUUGAAGGAGGUGAAAUCGAAGGCUGAGCUUGAUCAAACCGUUGGGAAGGGCUCUUCGAUCAUUCUACAAUUCUUGGUGUCACGGUGCAAGGACUUCAAGCACAUGGACCAAGUUUUCUCUCAUCUCUCCACUGAUUUUCCCCUCACCCACUUCCUCGAGAUUUAUACUUACCCAUUUUCUAUAUCUCUUUCCGAAACACACACAAAAAUAGUUUAUGCCAAUAUUAUUUUUUUGCUAUUUUCAAUUUUGAUCUGAUUUUUGUUUUUAUUGGUGAAUAUAUUAGAUCUCUUUCCUUUGCUUGUUUCAUUUUUUUUUUGAAUUUAAUAUGAGGAAUUCAAACAUUAUUAGUCAAUAAAGUAAGAAAAGGUGGUGGAGAAGACAGAGAAAAGGGAUGGUUGAUUGUUGAUAUAAAUGUUUAUAAGCAAUGGAUUCCAAGAAAUGUGUGAGGUGGUGCCGCUGUGGAGCAACGACUAAUUGUUGAUAUGUCGAUGGAGAAGACAGAUGAGAAGGGAACAGAUUGUGUUGUCAUUUCGAAAUUCUGUUUUGUGGAUUUUUAUUUGUGUUAAGCAAAAUGGAGGAGAGUGUUACCAUGUAAACGGUGCAUGCAUCUUUUUUACUUGUAACUUUUGGGUAGGAAAUGGUUCAACUCUCUGUGAUUAGAAUCUGACGGUUGAGAAUGAAAGUUAUGAUGUAUUAGUAAAGCCUUAUCCAUUAUCAA
rnacentral:lncRNA from 1 species